AUUGAACGCUGGCGGCAUGCCUUACACAUGCAAGUCGAACGGUAACGCGGGGCAACCUGGCGACGAGUGGCGAACGGGUGAGUAAUGCAUCGGAACGUGCCCAGAAGUGGGGGAUAGCCCGGCGAAAGCCGGAUUAAUACCGCAUGAGACCUGAAGGUGAAAGCGGGGGAUCGCAAGACCUCGCGCUUUUGGAGCGGCCGAUGUCAGAUUAGCUAGUUGGUGGGGUAAAGGCCUACCAAGGCGACGAUCUGUAGCUGGUCUGAGAGGACGACCAGCCACACUGGGACUGAGACACGGCCCAGACUCCUACGGGAGGCAGCAGUGGGGAAUUUUGGACAAUGGGCGCAAGCCUGAUCCAGCCAUGCCGCGUGCGGGAAGAGGGCCUUCGGGUUGUAAACCGCUUUUGUCAGGGAAGAAACGCUCUGGGCUAAUACCCUGGGGUAAUGACGGUACCUGAAGAAUAAGCACCGGCUAACUACGUG
rnacentral:rRNA from 1 species